ACCCCACUAUGCUUAACCUUAAAUAGAANUUUAUNNNNCCUAUUACUUUACCUAANNUCCGCCUGAGUACUACAAGCGCUAGCUUAAAACCCAAAGGACUUGGCGGUGCCUCAGACCCCCCUAGAGGAGCCUGUUCUAUAACCGAUAAUCCACGUUAAACCUUACCACUUCUUGCCUUUACCGCCUAUAUACCGCCGUCGUCAGCUCACCCCAUGAGGGUUUAAAAGUAAGCAUAAUGGACUUCNNUCCAAAACGUCAGGUCGAGGUGUAGCGAAUGAAGUGGAAAGAAAUGGGCUACAUUUUCUUUUAAGAAAAUACGGACAAUAACAUGAAAAACUAUUUAUAAGGUGGAUUUAGUAGUAAGAAAAACUUAGGAUAUUUUUCUGAAAAUGGCUCUGA
rnacentral:rRNA from 1 species